rnacentral:rRNA from 2 species
AGCUUGCUCCCGGAUGUUAGCGGCGGACGGGUGAGUAACACGUGGGUAACCUGCCUGUAAGACUGGGAUAACUCCGGGAAACCGGAGCUAAUACCGGAUAGUUCCUUGAACCGCAUGGUUCAAGGAUGAAAGACGGUUUCGGCUGUCACUUACAGAUGGACCCGCGGCGCAUUAGCUAGUUGGUGAGGUAACGGCUCACCAAGGCGACGAUGCGUAGCCGACCUGAGAGGGUGAUCGGCCACACUGGGACUGAGACACGGCCCAGACUCCUACGGGAGGCAGCAGUAGGGAAUCUUCCGCAAUGGACGAAAGUCUGACGGAGCAACGCCGCGUGAGUGAUGAAGGUUUUCGGAUCGUAAAGCUCUGUUGUUAGGGAAGAACAAGUGCAAGAGUAACUGCUUGCACCUUGACGGUACCUAACCAGAAAGCCACGGCUAACUACGUGCCAGCAGCCGCGGUAAUACGUAGGUGGCAAGCGUUGUCCGGAAUUAUUGGGCGUAAAGGGCUCGCAGGCGGUUUCUUAAGUCUGAUGUGAAAGCCCCCGGCUCAACCGGGGAGGGUCAUUGGAAACUGGGAAACUUGAGUGCAGAAGAGGAGAGUGGAAUUCCACGUGUAGCGGUGAAAUGCGUAGAGAUGUGGAGGAACACCAGUGGCGAAGGCGACUCUCUGGUCUGUAACUGACGCUGA